rnacentral:rRNA from 1 species
AUACGUAGGUGGCAAGCGUUGUCCGGAAUUAUUGGGCGUAAAGCGCAUGUAGGCGGUGCCUUAAGUCUGUCGUGAAACUGCGGGGCCUAACCCCGUAUGGCGAUGGAAACUGGGGUACUUGAGUGCAGGAGAGGAAAGGGGAACUCCCAGUGUAGCGGUGAAAUGCGUAGAUAUUGGGAAGAACACCGGUGGCGAAGGCGCCUUUCUGGACUGUGUCUGACGCUGAGAUGCGAACGCCAGGGUAGCGAACGGGAUUAGAUACCCCGGUAGUCCUGGCCGUAAACGAUGGGUACUAGGUGUGGGAGGUAUCGACCCCUUCCGUGCCGGAGUUAACGCAAUAAGGACCCCGCCUGGGGAGUACGGCCGCAAGGCUUAAACUCAAAUGAAUUGGCGGGG